GGGAUUGCUGCAGCCAUCCAAAAGGAGGCAGAAGGAAAGGUUGGUGCUGGAUGAUCCACAUGGUGCCCUGGAGGAUGGGACAUAGCAGCAAGUGAAGGGAAUAGAAGUCCCAGCCAUCAGUACCCUCCAUGCUCAGUGUUUGCUGAAGGAUACAGGGUCAUACAACCCAGAGCCUCUUUGCUGCUGCUGGAGACCUCUUGUUUGUGUCUGCUUGGCACAACCUGCAAUGCUCCAUCUUCCAUUCACUUCCCUUGGUGGUUUAUUGGCAAAAAGCUGUAACAGUUAUUUCAGUUGGGUGGGUGGAGCUGCGAUGAAAACUCCAGUCUCCUCAUUUCAGUGAUGAAUAUUCAUGAUUGAAGCAAUCUGUACCAGACAGAGAAAGAUGUAACUCAGCACUGCAACUUCUAUCUGCAGCAAUGGAAGCAUUCAUCCCAUAAGAGAUGCCCUCACCGAAAACAAGCUGUCAGCAGCACCAAGCAAGUGACAACAGAAGUAUUAUGGUGUGGAUACAUUCAGUAAUACUUUGACAUCAGUUGCAUCCGCUGCUUUGCUUCAAACCAAACAUGCCACAAGAUUCACCUUAGGCUCAAAUGCUGCUUUCAGAAACACUGAUAAGAAUAGCUGCAGCGAGCACCAAGUGCCUUCAGAGCAUCCUCACUCUCCCUACAGCAUGGAAAGGACAGGGUGGAAAAAGCAUCAUGCCUUCAGCUGCCAGGGCAGCCAGCAGCAGGAAUGGCCCCAGUUGCUUCUCCAGCAACCUUCCCUUGCUCAGCUCCAGGAUCAUCUCCCCUUGCACAGAGCAGGAAACCUCCACACAUCCCAGGACUCAUCACUUUGCCCAGCACGUGUUUCCCUUCAGCAGAAGGGUAGAUGAUCCCUCUUGCAGCUCUGCGGUACGUUUUGCAGCCACACCUCCAAGGAAGGGAGGUCAAAUCAGCUCACCUCCAAGAAGUGCAAUGUUUGGAGUCCUAAUCCUGCUGCAUAGAGUUACCAUGCUAAUUUCCUUGGCAAACGCCAGAGUCAGGAUGCUACAAGCUUGUUUUGGCCUCAUGCCAUUACAGAGUGUGAAAGAGCAGCUGAAACAAGCAGCACGUAACUCAAGUGUGGGAAACAUGGGAUGGAGAGAAAUCCUGGUUGUGUCCAAGGCUGAUGAACAGUCAGCAGGAAAAGACAAAUCUUGAAGAAAGAGAUGCUCAGGGACCACUUCUCCCCC